rnacentral:rRNA from 1 species
GUGAGGAAUUUUCCGCAAUGGGCGAAAGCCUGACGGAGCAAUGCCGCGUGAAGGAUGAAGGCCUAUGGGUUGUAAACUUCUUUUCUCAGAAAAGAAUUAUGACGGUAUCUGAGGAAUAAGCAUCGGCUAACUCUGUGCCAGCAGCCGCGGUAAGACAGAGGAUGCAAGCGUUAUCCGGAAUGAUUGGGCGUAAAGCGUCUGUAGGUUGUUUAAAAAGUAUUCUGUCAAAGAUUAGGGCUUAACCCUAGAUAGGCAGAAUAAACUUUUAAGCUAGAGUUUGAUAGAGGCAGAGGGAAUUCCCGGUGGAGCGGUGAAAUGCGUAGAUAUCGGGAGGAACACCAAAGGCGAAGGCACUCUGCUGGGCCAAUACUAACACUGAGAGACGAAAGCGAGGGGAGCAAAUGGGAUUAGAUACCCCGGUAGUCC